GACGAACGCUGGCGGCGUGCUUAACACAUGCAAGUCGAACGGAAAGGCCCUGCUUUUGUGGGGUGCUCGAGUGGCGAACGGGUGAGUAACACGUGAGUAACCUGCCCUUGACUUUGGGAUAACUUCAGGAAACUGGGGCUAAUACCGGAUAGGAGCUCCUGCUGCAUGGUGGGGGUUGGAAAGUUUCGGCGGUUGGGGAUGGACUCGCGGCUUAUCAGCUUGUUGGUGGGGUGGUGGCUUACCAAGGCAUUGACGGGUAGCCGGCCUGUGAGGGUGACCGGCCACAUGGGGACUGAGAUACGCACCAGACUGCUACGGGAGGCAGCAGUGGGGAAUAUUGCACAAUGGGCGGAAGCCUGAUGCAGCAACGCCGCGUGCGGGAUGACGGCCUUCGGGUUGUAAACCGCUUUCGCCUGUGACGAAGCGUGAGUGACGGUAAUGGGUAAAGAAGCACCGGCUAACUACGUG
rnacentral:rRNA from 1 species